AUUGAACGCUGGCGGCAGGCCUAACACAUGCAAGUCGAACGAGUGGCGGACGGGUGAGUAAUGUCGGGGAAACUGCCUGAUGGAGGGGGAUAACUACGGGAAACGGUAGCAAAUACCGCAUACCCUCGGAUGUGCCCAGAGGGGAUUAGUUAGUAGGGGGGGUAACGGCUCACCUAGGCGAAGAUCCCUAGCUGGUCUGAGAGGAUGACCAGCCACACUGGAACUGAGACACGGUCCAGCCUCCUACGGGAGGCAGCAGUGGUGAAUAUUGAACAAUGGGCGCAAGCCUGAUGCAGCCAUGCCGCGUGUAUGAAGAAGGCCGUCGGGUUGUAAAGUAUUUUCAGCGGGGAGGCGUUACCCGCAGAAGAAGCACCGGCUAACUCCGUGCCAGCCGCCGUGGUAC
rnacentral:rRNA from 1 species